rnacentral:rRNA from 1 species
GAGUGAACGCUGGCGGUAGGCCUAACACAUGCAAGUCGAACGGCAGCACAGUAAGAGCUUGCUCUUACGGGUGGCGAGUGGCGGACGGGUGAGGAAUACAUCGGAAUCUACUUUUUCGUGGGGGAUAACGUAGGGAAACUUACGCUAAUACCGCAUACGACCUACGGGUGAAAGCAGGGGACCUUCGGACCUUGCGCGAUUGAAUGAGCCGAUGUCGGAUUAGCUAGUUGGCGGGGUAAAGGCCCACCAAGGCGACGAUCCGUAGCUGGUCUGAGAGGAUGAUCAGCCACACUGGAACUGAGACACGGUCCAGACUCCUACGGGAGGCAGCAGUGGGGAAUAUUGGACAAUGGGCGCAAGCCUGAUCCAGCCAUACCGCGUGGGUGAAGAAGGCCUUCGGGUUGUAAAGCCCUUUUGUUGGGAAAGAAAAGCAGCAGGUUAAUACCCCGCUGUUCUGACGGUACCCAAAGAAUAAGCACCGGCUAACUUCGUG